CCUGCCUCGAUAAAGUGGAUAAAUUGAUACACCAAAAUUUUUAAACACCCUAUUUUAUCUCAACGUACCAGUUGCCAUCAUAUUCCCACCAUUUGAACCAACUAAACAUUUGUAUAAUAUCCCAUUGAUUGCAUAAUCUACUAAUCACGAAAUAUAACAUAUAGUUAAACUUUCAUUUAACCUCCAAAGCAAAAGAAUCAAAUUGCUUUUUCAACCAUGCAGUUGUCUCCAGGUUGACAAAAUUUGCAAAUCUUGCAAUUGCUGCUUUCUUCGCGAAUGAAGCAAUG
rnacentral:misc_RNA from 1 species